AAGGUCUCUCACAAGCAUACAGCAUCAAGUAUUUGCUUUAUUACUAUUACAUAAAGGACUUAUAAAGGAAGCCUCAGUCAGAGCCUCAGCCAGUCCAAACUGGACCAGGAUCACGAAUUUAGGGAAGGCAGCAAGCGUUUUCCAUCUCCUAACCUACACAAUUCCUGCCACCCUAACAAUUUAAACUAAUAUAGCACCUGGCCCCUUCUGAGUCUCCAUCUUAUUAGAAACACAUUGACUCUGACGGCUGCCUGGGAAGCCAAGAACCACAUUCAUCACUGGGGUAUCUCAUCUGACAUCAGUGAGAUCAGACUUUGGCUUUUAUCCUCCAAACAGUGCACAAUUUUUACACAGGACCUAUAUGAAAAUUAACCUUCAGCGCUGCACUAAUUCUGUGGUAUUUGGAGAAAGGCACAGAAUAUCGUUCUUUGUUCAAAAGUUCUAUUAAAAGAAUCCUUGAUCAGCUGUCUUCAUGUGAAAAGCUUUUUGUCCAUUGGUACAGAAGAAGGGAAAAGCAGCCUUGGGAUGAAGGCAGCGCUCGUGGCACUGAGAGCCCGCAACAGGCACAGAAUCGCCAGACCAGACAGGCAGCAAGCUAGUUAAGAACAAAGAUGCAGGAGACAUGUGUAAGCCCCUUUUCCCAAAAAAUACCUGUGCAGAGGUAUGGAAACAGCCAGUAUUCCUCAGCGACGGCUGAGCUGUUAGUUUGCAGCAGCUGGUAGGGCCAGACCGUGCUGUCAGGAAUGCCGUAGCCUGGAGAACAGAAGAAUGGAAACUCACUAUAUAUUACUUGGGUUGUAUGCUCUGAUUUUGUUUUGGUUUCAGCUGCUGAAAAGAAACAAGAAGACAGGAAGAAGUUCUGUUUAAUGGACAGCAAGUGCAUGAAUCAAGAGGAGGCAAUGGAAAAAAUAAUUGAAUGUUACAAAGGCCUUGCUCAGCACAUCUCUAUCUUCAGACUCGAGAGGGAAGGAAACCAUCUGCAGAGCGUAAAGUAUCCUUGGCACGACCGCGAUCCUCCAGGCAGCUGCUCUCCCGGCCAUGAGAGGGGGAGCUGGUUUCAGUGCCUCUGAUUUCCCCGUGAAUUAUGUGAAGUUCAAGUGGUUCAAACCAGUGACUGGGGUAUUUUUGCAUGUAAAUAAUCUCAUUAAGUCUUGAUCACUAACUCGAUAACUUUGUGGUUUCCUAAAUGGUCCAGUGGGGAAAAAAUAAAUGGGCUUCAUACCAAGAUCGAAUGAAUAAC
rnacentral:lncRNA from 1 species